rnacentral:rRNA from 1 species
GAUGAACGCUGGCGGCGUGCCUAAUACAUGCAAGUCGAGCGAACAGAUAAGGAGCUUGCUCCUUUGACGUUAGCGGCGGACGGGUGAGUAACACGUGGGUAACCUACCUAUAAGACUGGGAUAACUUCGGGAAACCGGAGCUAAUACCGGAUAACAUUUGGAACCGCAUGGUUCUAAAGUGAAAGAUGGUUUUGCUAUCACUUAUAGAUGGACCCGCGCCGUAUUAGCUAGUUGGUAAGGUAACGGCUUACCAAGGCAACGAUACGUAGCCGACCUGAGAGGGUGAUCGGCCAGACUGGAACUGAGACACGGUCCAGACUCCUACGGGAGGCAGCAGUAGGGAAUCUUCCGCAAUGGGCGAAAGCCUGACGGAGCAACGCCGCGUGAGUGAUGAAGGGUUUCGGCUCGUAAAACUCUGUUAUUAGGGAAGAACAAACGUGUAAGUAACUGUGCACGUCUUGACGGUACCUAAUCAGAAAGCCACGGCUAACUACGUG